AAUUAUUUUAUUUUCCCACAAAUGGUGGCACACACGGACGUCUCUCCCGUAUCGCAGCUUCCUCUCCAAGCUCUGUGGAUCGAGGUCGUCACGGCCGUCUACCGACGCCGUUCUUUGUCUCUUCCAAUAAGCAGCAUUGACGCGAUGCAGGAAUCGAACAAGGCGCCGGAGCCGGUUGCGAAGAUGCGCAAUUCAGCGGCGGCAAGAAGACAACGACGAGGUCGCUCUCUGUGUUUUAUCAUUAUUUUCCAAUAUAAUUCAUCCGUGCUUUAUCCAUCCGAUGCUUCGGUGAAUCAUGGCCUCUCUUCUCCCGCACCCGCCCAUUCUGAGAUCUCUUCCGUCUUCCUUCACUGCCCCAAUUAAGCCUGUCAAGUCAUCUACUUUCGCCAUAAACCAUCCUCCGAAGAAACCACAGAUCCAUCUUCCUCAAUUAUCCUCCCUUUGCGAAAAAGGUCUGCUUCGGGAAGCAUUCGCCCUCGUCACUCAAUUCCAGUCGGAGAGCGAUCUCCCUCUCGCCCCCGAAAUUUAUGGUGAACUUCUGCAGGGAUGCAUCUACGAUCGAGCUCUGCCUCAAGGUCAGCAGAUCCAUGCCCGGAUACUGAAAUUUGGUUCGUUGUUCCAUAGAAACGAGUAUAUGAAAACAAAAUUGUUGAUUUUUUACGCGAAAUGUGGCUGCUUGGUGGUGGCCGAGGAAAUGUUCCGCCAGCAGUGCCGACCUAAUGUUUUCUCUUGGGCAGCCAUGAUUGGAUUGCGCUGCCAACUUGGUUUGGAUGAAGAGGCUUUGGUGGGUUUUGUGGAAAUGCUGGAAGCUGCUUGUCUUCCUGACAAUUUCGUGAUCCCUAAUGCCCUAAAGGCGUGUUCUUCGCUUCAAUGCAUUGGUUUUGGCAGAGGGAUCCAUGGCUACGCGCUGAAGAUGGGUUUUGGGUCUUGUGUCUACGUUCUGAGCAGUCUUGUUGAUUUUUAUGGAAAAUGCACGAUCUUAGGAGACGCUUGGAAGGUGUUCGAAGAAAUGCCGGAGAGAAAUGUGAUUACCUGGAAUGCCAUGCUCGUGGGCAAUGCUCACAAUGGUUUGAAUCUUGAGGUACUGGAACUAUUUCAUCAUAUGAGGAUUGAAGGAAUCCAACCAACUCGAGUUAGCAUUUCGUGUUUGCUAUCCUCAUCUGCUAACCUUGAAGCUCUUGCUGAAGGCAAACAAGGUCAUGCUGUGGCAAUCCUCAUGGGUCUAGAACUGGACAAUAUCCUUGGUAGCUCCCUCAUAAACUUUUAUUGUAAGGCAGGGUUAAUUGAGGAUGCAGAGUGCCUCUUCAACAGGAUGGCCGACCGAGAUGUAGUAAUUUGGAACUUGCUAGUAUCUGGCUAUGUGCAGGAUGGACAGAUUGGCCAUGCACUGACUACUUGCUCCCAGAUGAUUCAAGAGAAUUUCAAAUUCGAUUCAGUUACUCUGACAAGCAUCAUAUCAGCCGCUGCCAUUUCUAACGAUCUAUCUCUCGGCAAAGUUGCUCAUAGCUACUGCAUCAGGAAUAAUCUUGAUUCAGAUCUUGCAAUUGCAAGUAGCAUCGUUGACUUGUAUGGUACUUUUGGGAGGGUAGACAAUGCACGGCGACUGUUUGAUCUGAUUACAGAUUCAAGAGAUCUGGUGAUGUGGAAUACAAUGAUAUCUGCUUAUGCACACAAUGGCUUGAGCAGUGAGUGUUUGAACCUUUUCUAUCAGAUGCAGCUAGAAAGUGUGCAUCCUAAUGUAAUCUCAUGGAACUCACUUAUACUUGGUUUUCUUCGAAACAGUCAAGUUGAUGAGGCUUUAGCUAUGUUUGCGGAGAUGCAAAACAACGGAGUGCACCCAGAUAUAAUCACAUGGACUAGUCUCAUUCAUGGCUUAGCAGAGAAUGGAUAUGGUCGUGAAGCAAUAAAUUUAUAUUUUCAAAUGCAAACAGCUGGUAUCAGACCCAAUCCUACUAGCAUCGUAGGACUGCUUUUAGCUUGCACAAAUCUAUCCUCGUUACACAAUGGAAGGAUGAUUCAUGGGUAUAUAACCAGACACAGGCUUGUUCUAUCCCCGUACAUUGCGACAUCUCUUAUAGACAUGUAUUCAAAAUGUGGAAGUAUAGAUCUUGCCGCAAAUGUAUUCAGGAUGGUCUCCCAUAAGACACUAACUGUUUACAAUGUUUUGAUAUCGGGGUACGCUUUACAUGGGAAGGCAAAAGAAGCUCUUACACUAUAUGAUGACAUGUGCGAAAGGCGGAUAACACCAGAUGGAUUCACCUUUACUGGACUUCUUUCUGCGUGUGCACAUGCAGGGGCUUUUGCUGAAGGUAUUAGGAUUCUCACUGUGAUGGUCUCAGUACAUGAUCUAACUCCCCAAAAGGAACACUAUGGCUGUUUAGCUGCUCUAUUUGCACGCCAUGGAAGAAUCAAGCAAGUGUUUAGUGCUUUAUCUGCAACUUCCAUUGCACUUGACGCAUAUACUUUGACAUCUUUGCUUACUUUGUGUAAAGAAAAUCGUGAUAUAGAGUUCUCAGAAGAUCUUUCAGGGCACAUACUUGACUUGGAACCAGAUAAUGUUUCAAACUAUGUUGCACUAGCGAACCUGUAUGCUCGAUCUGGAAGGUGGAAGGAGGCAUCACAUGUGAGAAUGCUUAUGAAACAGGGGGGAAUGAAGACGAACCCUGGUUGCAGUUGGAUUCAGACAGGAGGCGAAACUCAUGUAUUUACAGCCGCUGAUCAAUCUCAUCCCCAGUUUGCUGAUAUAGCGAGGGCAUUGUUAUGCUUGGACAAACAAAUGAAGAACAUUGGCUGUUCAUCUUCCAUUGACAAAUUGGGACAAACUCAUGUCAAUCAAGGUUCUCUGUGCCACUGAAGUCCAACUUCUUGCAUGUUUGGAUCCUAAAUUUUGAAACAAGAAUAUCAGAUGAGUAAGUUGCUCAAACAACCUGUAAAGAAAUUUGAUAACCUGAAUAGUUUAGGAGAUGCAGCCACCAUUACAAAGAAGUACAAAAGCUAGAAUUAGAUUGUUAGUUGGAAUACGAAAUGGCGGCCAGUGAAUGUGGAUAAGAUAACAGUGGUAAUACAAGAUGGGUAUGACAAAGGUGAAAUCCGUCUAUCCGAUGGUUCUCCCAUGACGGUCUUAUACCAUUGGAAGGGAGUAAAUCAAAAAAUUAAAGUUAUCAUCAUAUGAAAGGCUAUGUGAAUAUAGAUAAGAUAACAGUGGCAGUACAAUAUGAGUAUGUUACUAUCUCAAGUUAGUUUUGAUGUGAACAACUAAGUUAGGUUAAGUUCCGUUACUUUUUAAUCUUGUGUCUAAGUGUGCAGGAAUUUAGAAGGACAGGAAGUCGAGUGAAAGAUGUAGCUAGUGAAAAGGACGACACGGGAGAGAGCAGACGGGUUUGGUGCGCCCGAGGGACGAUAUGCUGUGGAAGAGUACGCGGGCGGACGAGAAGGAGACGUCCGGUGUUUCCGAGGGAUUGCUCGAGGAGACAAGCAAAAGACGUACCUAGCGAGAAGGAAGACACGGGAGAGAGCCGACGAGCUCGGUGCGUUCGAGGAACUACGCGUUGCGGAAGAGUACGCAGUGGACGAGAAUGAAGCAUGCUGCGAUUCUGAGGGACAAGAAGCCAGGAGCGGAAGAUUGCUCGAAGGCCGGAAGUUGAGUUUGGGUGAGUCCUAUUCUGGAUGAUCGAGAUCACCCAAGCGAGCAGAGCCGGAGUGAAAGACCCGAACCAAGGCGAGCGGAAUCGGAGCGGAAGACUGAGACCGAAAGUCAACAGGAUGUUGACUUCCUUCGUUCGGGCACCCGAACUCGCUUGACUCUGGGUGCUCGGAACCCUUCCGAGCGCCUGGGCCAUGAUGUUUAUCCGGAUCGCGUAAAGCACGAUCUGUUGCGACAGGGAUAAAGUUUUAUCCCCUCUAGGCACCUGGAACCCUUCUAGGCGCCCCGACUAGGGCUAUAAAUACAACCCUAGUCCCAGAAGCCUAAAAAUAAUACCAGAGAACACUUGUAAACGAUUUCUUUUGUCUAGCAUCGUAUUUCUAAUACUUUAACUGCAGUAAAGAGACUUCUUUGUCUGAAA